rnacentral:rRNA from 1 species
CUGUAAGCCUGUGAAGGUGUACUGUGAGGUAUGCUGGAGGUAUCAGAAGUGCGAAUGCUGACAUAAGUAACGAUAAAGCGGGUGAAAAGCCCGCUCGCCGGAAGACCAAGGGUUCCUGUCCAACGUUAAUCGGGGCAGGGUGAGUCGACCCCUAAGGCGAGGCCGAAAGGCGUAGUCGAUGGGAAACAGGUUAAUAUUCCUGUACUUGGUGUUACUGCGAAGGGGGGACGGAGAAGGCUAUGUUGGCCGGGCGACGGUUGUCCCGGUUUAAGCGUGUAGGCUGGUUUUCCAGGCAAAUCCGGAAAAUCAAGGCUGAGGCGUGAUGACGAGGCACUACGGUGCUGAAGCAACAAAUGCCCUGCUUCCAGGAAAAGCCUCUAAGCAUCAGGUAACAUCAAAUCGUACCCCAAACCGACACAGGUGGUCAGGUAGAGAAUACCAAGGCGCUUGAGAGAACUCGGGUGAAGGAACUAGGCAAAAUGGUGCCGUAACUUCGGGAGAAGGCACGCUGAUAUGUAGGUGAAGUCCCUCGCGGAUGGAGCUGAAAUCAGUCGAAGAUACCAGCUGGCUGCAACUGUUUAUUAAAAACACAGCACUGUGCAAACACGAAAGUGGACGUAUACGGUGUGACGCCUGCCCGGUGCCGGAAGGUUAAUUGAUGGGGUUAGCGCAAGCGAAGCUCUUGAUCGAAGCCCCGGUAAACGGCGGCCGUAACUAUAACGGUCCUAAGGUAGCGAAAUUCCUUGUCGGGUAAGUUCCGACCUGCACGAAUGGCGUAAUGAUGGCCAGGCUGUCUCCACCCGAGACUCAGUGAAAUUGAACUCGCUGUGAAGAUGCAGUGUACCCGCGGCAAGACGGAAAGACCCCGUGAACCUUUACUAUAGCUUGACACUGAACAUUGAGCCUUGAUGUGUAGGAUAGGUGGGAGGCUUUGAAGUGUGGACGCCAGUCUGCAUGGAGCCGACCUUGAAAUACCACCCUUUAAUGUUUGAUGUUCUAACGUUGACCCGUAAUCCGGGUUGCGGACAGUGUCUGGUGGGUAGUUUGACUGGGGCGGUCUCCUCCUAAAGAGUAACGGAGGAGCACGAAGGUUGGCU